UGUUGUGAUGCUUCAUUUGUGGUUUGAUCCCUCCCAAAUAUAUGUGAUGCUUUAUUUCAGUAUAACCACAUGUUCAUAAUGCAUGCUAUUGUAUGUACAACUUCAAUUUAUGGUGUCCUACCGUCCUCACUAUAUACCAUCAAAGUUUUGAUUUCUCUCAGUUUUGGCAGCCAUAACAUCAACAACUAGAACUUGCCUGGUGGCUCCAAAUGAUCACAGAACACUAAGCCUAGACGCUUUACAGAUUCCAUGGCUCAUGGAAAUAAAAGAUCAAGGCUUUUGAGUAGCAGAUGAUUAGAUACUUGUGUUGAGAUGGUUAAGUGUGAGGAACGAGGUCAAAUUUGGUUUACACAGACAAGGAUGUUGAUGAGAUCCGAGCGGAAUGGGCUAAGCAUGUUUUGAAGUUCCCAGAAAAUUAAGUAUCAGCCUAUAUAUAUGCUUUUGUUUCUGGUAGGUUAUGAGCAGUAGUAGUGUCUAGGAACUGCUUUUGUGCAUUUUGACAGAACUGAUGGAAAGUGUUGAACAAAUGCAUGCAGUUGAUGGAAAGUGUUGAACAAAUGCAUGCAGUUACUGUAACUACUCUAUGGAUGCUACUAGGUUUUUGUCAUAGUUAGAUUAGGAUCCGUGCAACAAUGGCAGUAAUUAAAAUCAGUUAAUGUAAAGGCUAGCAUGCUAGCUAGUUUAGUAUUAUGCUACUGAUGGAAAUGUAUU